AGCUGCUGCCUAGCUGGCACACCAGCUGAGUCUACAGAGAUGAACAGUUCAAUGUACGCGAGGAUCGAUCCAGAGACUCCCCAGCUGGAGGCCUCCAAGUGGAAUCUGGACAAGCAUCUGUUGGUGGUGGUCUACCUGUGGAUUUUGCACACUGAACAAAGGGAUGGACUGAACCACUUGCAAGUUCCCCCCUGCCUCUGUGAGACUGGAGUCAUCACAAAGGAUAAAGGUAAAGGGACCCCUGACCAUUAGGUCCAGUUGUGAACGACUCUGGGGUUGCGGCGCUCAUCUCGCUUUAUUGGCCGAGGGAGCUGGGUCAUGUGGCCAGCAUGACUAAGCCACUUCUGGUGAACCAGAGCAGCGCACGGAAACGCCAUUUACCUUCCCUUCAGAUGUGAAGGAAAUAAGCAGCUAUCCUAUCUUUAAAAGACAUCUGAAGGCAGCCCUGUUCAGGGAAGUUUUUAAUAUUUAACGCUGUACUGUUUUUAACACUUGAUUGGGAGCCGCCCAGAGUGGCUGGGGAGACUCAGCCAGAUGGGCGGGGUAUAAAUAAUAUAUUAUUAUUAUUAUUAUUAUUAUUAUUAUUAUUAUUAUUAUUAUCUACUUGCACUCUGAGGUGCUUUCAAACUGCUAGGUUGGCAGGAGCAGGGACCGAGCAACAGGAGCUCACCCCGUCACGGGGAUUCGAACCACCAACCUUCUGAUUGGCACGUCCUAGGCUCUGUGGAUUAACCCACAGCGCCACCCGCGUCCAUCACAAAGGAUACUGAUACAGAAAAACAACUAUCCUCCCGUAAAUGGCAACCCAGCCUCUGCUUAAAAAUCACUCACAAAGUGCCCACAAGGACUGUGCACUAAAUUCAGCCAAACCCCAGAUAAUGAAACAAAUCAGGCUAAUUUAGGCCAACUUGGGAUUCGGCCAGAUUGGGUUGAGGUGGCUGCAGAUCACCCUGGAUUGCCUUAGACCUAUCCAGGGCAAUCCAGAAUGGAGCGGGAGGUGGGUAGGGGGCAGUGAGGAGAAAGAGAGAAGGAGACAUGAAGACAGGCUGUGUACAUCUCCAACUUUCCUCCUGACCACAAGUUUUUAACCAGGUUUUUAAGCUCUCCAUCCACUAUGCAACAGGUAUGUAAAUAUUUGAAAAUGGCUAUUAUAUCAUAUCUUUCUUUUUUUAAUUUUUUUUAUUCAAAGUUAUAACAAAACAUAUUUUCCAAAAACACAUCCUUAUUCCCCCCCCAUUUUUCCUCCCCCUCCCCCCACAAAACCCACCCCCCACCUCACCCCCCAACUUCCCUCAGUUCCAGUCUUUGGUUUCUCCAAUAAUGCUAUUUUCUGCAUGUUACAGAGUUGUAUAGAUCCUCCAACUGUUUAGCUAAUUAUUAUCAGUAAAAAAUUGUGGAUGUUUAUUCAAAACCUGCCAAGGAGUCCAGUUCACUUUGUUGCGUCUUCAAAUACUUUGUGAAAGGUUCCCAUUCAUCCUUAAAGUCACAGUUAUCCUUGCCACAUCUUAAUAAUCCCUUCUGAAGGCUAAACAUACCCAAGAAGUUCAAUCUUUCCUCGCAAGGACUUCAAUCUCCAAGCCCCUCACUACCUCUGCCUUCCUCUAGACACAUUGGUCUAUAUUCUCCCUAAACCUGAGUGCCAAAAACUGGACACAGAACUGCAGCUGAGAUCCAACCAAAGCAGAAAAAAGCACUGCAAUUAUUUCUCAUGAUUUGGAUGCUAUACUUCAGUUGAUGCAACCUGGGUUUUUUUAGCCUACCUUUUUUAGCCACUACAUGGCACUACUGACUCAUAUUUAUCUGGUGGUCUACUAAAACCUAGAGAUACUUUUCACGCAUACUGCUGUCAAGCAAGAUGCCACCCAUUCUUCAUGACUGCAUCUGAUUAUUAUUUUUGCUGCCGAAAUGCAGAGCUUCCAUCUCUUCUGGAAUUUGUUUUGCUCAUUUUGGCAAAGUACGCCAUCCUGUCAAAGUCUUUAAUUUAGCUUUUGUCCCUGUGUUAGCUACCACGCCCAUUUGGGUGCCAACUGAAAAUUAGAACAUGUGUUCCACAAACCAAAACACAAGUAUGACAUUCCACUUGGGACUUGAGAAUCCUCCCAUUUUUUUGCUGCCUUCCCAGCCACCAGCCAUGACUUGCAGGACGAAUUGCAUGUUUGCAAGCACAGGAACACAGGAAAUUGCCAAAUACCCAGGAACAACUGGCAGGGAGGAGGGGCACCACUACAGACAUGGCUUCUAGACAGCAACAUUGCUGCUAUGCAACAGGAUUGUGUGGGUUUGUGAAUGGGUGACAAUGAGAUCAGGGCAGUUCAGGUGCACCAGCAGGGCCAAUGUGACACUUCCACUUGGUGUGCCCACACUGUCCUGACCUUGCUGCUGCUAUGCUACAUCCCAGUACAUGGAAUCGUAGAACUGCAGAGUUGGAAGGGAUUCCAAGGGUCAUCUAGUCCUACCCCCUGCAAUGCAGGAAUCUCAACUAAAGCAGCCAUGACAGUUGACCAUCCAAGCUGUGCUUAAAAACCUCCCAUGAAGGAGAGUCCACCAACUUUUAAGGGAGUCUGUUCCAAUACUGAAAAGCUCUCAGUGUCAGAAAGCUCUUCCAAAGGAUCAGUCAGAAUCUCCUUUCUUGUAACUUGAAUCCAUUGAUUCAGGUCCUACCCUCAGGAACAAGAGAAAACAAGCUUGCUCCAUCUUCCAGGUGAUAUUUGAAGACAGCUAGCACUCUAGGUGUUGCCUGACCAAGGCAGAAUACAACAGAAUUAUUACUUCCCUUGACCGGGAUACUAUACUUGAAAUUCAUUUUGUUAGUUUCAACACUGUUCUCCAUCUGUUGAGGUCCUCUUGAUUUGAACACAGAAAAACAAUAGGCCCAGGAACAGAACAGAGUGGCACACAUUUUGUCAUUUUUUCCAAGAAUACUGAGGAAUCAUUCGUGAGCACUCUUUGGGUUCGUCCAGUCUACAUGCUACAAAUCCACCUAUUAAUUACCUCAUCCAGCCCACAAGUUACCAGCUUCUCUGCAAGAAUAUCUUGAGGGACUUUGGCAAAAGCCUUACUGAAGUCUAGAUACAGCAUUCCCUUGAUCCACCAAGCUUGUAACUCCAUCCAAAAGAAGAAAAAGUGAAAUUCAUCUGGAAUGAUACAUGGUUUUGAGAAACCCAAUGAUCUUAGCAAUCAUUGCAUUCUUUUCUAAGUGUUCACAGACCAACAGUUUAAUCAUCUGUUCUAGGAACUUUCCUGGUGCUGAUGUCAAGCUGACAGGUCAAUAGUUACCUGGGUCUUCUCCCUCAUCCUCACUUUGAAGAUGGGGACAACAUUUGUCCACUCCCAGUCCUCAGGGACCUAACCUUAUCUCCAGGAAUUCUCAAAUAUCAUAGACGGAGGCUCUGAGAUUACAUCCACAAGCUCCUUUAGUACCAUUGAGUGCAGCUCAUCAGGCCCUGGAGAUCUGAUUCAAUAAAACAGCUACAUUAGUGGCCAAAAUUGUGGAAACCUUUUGGAAAAAGUAUAUUUCUGAAGUCUGAUGGCUCAUAAUACUCUUUUUUGGAGUAAUACCAUAAAAUUAUAUAUCAAUGGAAAUAUAAUUUAAAGAAAAAUGCAAUACAACAAAGUUUGUUCAAUUAUCUGUAUUCUAUCAAAGCUUAUAGCCAAAUAACCAGGAAAAGGAAGCACAACUUGCUAAGGUUGAUAUGCAGUAGGUUUCCUUCAUUUGAAUGUAGCCAAUGAGCAUGAGUGUCUAGAGAGCCAAUCAGGUGUUAUGAGCCGUCAGACCUUAGAAAUACAUUUUUUCCAUUAGGUUUCCACAAUUUUGGCUACUAGUAUAGGUGUUCCCUUACCACCACUUUUCCUAUCUUGCCACAGCAACCUUCUUGUAUCUCCAGGUUGGGCACUGCUUUCCUUUUGGGUGAAGAGAGAAGCAAAGUAGGUGUUGAGCACUUCCACCUUCUCUCUGUUCCCCAAUAGCAUUCCAUGCAGAGGACCUACUACUGACUUGUUCUUCCUCUUGCUUCGGACUUAGGUAUGCUGCUGCAAGGCCAGGUCUCUAUGGCUUAGACCAAUAUGCCCUUGCUCAUACAAAAUCAGAGCCUUUCAUUUCUCCAGCUCUGAAUUGUCUACUGCAGAGCUUUCCAAACUUGGGUCUCUCGCUGUUUUUGGACUACAAUUCCCAUCAUUCCACGCCACUCAUUCUGCUAGCUAGGGAUGUAGUCCGAAAACAACCAGAGACUCAAGUUUGGGAAACCCUGGUCUACAUUGACAGGCAGCAACACCCCAGGAUUCUCCAGUCCUACCUGGACAUUCUAGGGACUGAACCUGUGACCAUCUGUCUGCAAAGCAUGUACUCUGCCACUAAACUACACAUGUUUCCUUGGACCAUGUUAAUGGAAAGAGACUGGACCAUGCUGAAGCUGCUUUCAGAAUUUAGCCUCUCCCUCUGACUCUACCAAGGCCCACUUAAAACAACGAGACCUUCUCAUUCUUGCCACCCUUUGAAAAUUUGUAAGAGGGAGAUUUGCCCAUGACCCACAACCCGCCUACUCCCAAGAAGUCCCCUGUGGAAACGAAAAGGGCUGAUCAAAUUUCAGAUUUACCGUAACAGAGCAUUUAAGUAGCUGGCAUCAAGUGAAUGUUGUUUUAACUCUGGUGUAGCUUCUGAUUGCUUUGGUUGUAAUCCAUAUAUCCACUUUAAUUUAGUGGAACACAAAAGAGGUUUUUCAAGACAGUUAGCUUUGCAGAAGUUGGAUCUUACGAUCAUGUUCCAAGUCAUAAGCUCCCAGCUUGUAAUGUGGAUUUAAAUUUCAUGCCUUUUAUUUAUCAUAUAAGGAACUAUAUUGAUCUUGUACUACUUUGUUCUCUCCCAGAAUAUGCCUACUCAAAGACUUAGUGCGGGGGGAGGGGAGAACACCACCAAACAGCUUUAGUUCUUAUAACCACUUUAUCUUUCAGAGAAGUGGUGGGGAACUUGUGACCCUCCAGAAGUUUGCUUAUCCUUACACAUUUUUUGGAAGUAAAUUGCAAUCAAAUCAAGAGCUUAACUCCAUGUUUUUAUUUAUUUAUGUAAAAACGCCUGAUAUGUCUGAUUAAACAGCAAUAGGUAUCUGUGGUAACUAGCCAUCAAAAAAACAACACACAUACUAUAACAAAACAAAACCACAACAACUUAUGUAAAAAUCAAAUAAAUUUGCAUCUUGGGAAGGAUGAAUCUGUCAGUUUUGGUUUCUCUUGGUUUUUCAGUUAUUCCAGAAUUAAAUUCAGUUUCUCAUGUGUCCACAUCAGCUUGCAUUUUUUUUAAAAGCCCUCAUGGAAAUUCAUCAGCCUGUGCAAAUUUAUCACAAUAUCCAUAUUUGUAUGCAUUUAUGCAUAAUCCAUACUUUUUCAUAUCAGUGUUUCCUGAUAUGUACACAUUACUUGGCUGGAAAACUGUACUGCAAAAUUUGGAGAAAUGUGACCUUUCAAAGGUUGGUUGUGUUCUGGCUUGUGUAUUGUUUUGGUUACUGUGAAUUAGGUAGGUUCAUAUUUUAAAUGUGACCCGAAUCAAGUUUCUCUCCUUUCCACAGUUACUUCAGUUGCUACUCCACACUCCCAAAACACAAAAGACUUUACCAGCCUUCAGAAAAGCCCCCAAACCAGCCAGGCUCCUCAGACAGGGAGUUCCAUGAGGAAAGCCCUACUCUUCAUGUAGUAAAGAAAGUAACCAGGAAACCCAAAGCUCAGCCACUG
rnacentral:lncRNA from 1 species